AGGGUAACAGCCCAGAUCACCAGUUAAGGCCCUAAAUAAUUGCUAAGUGGAAAAGGAUGUAUUAGUACGUAGACAAUCAGGAGGUUUGCUUAGAAGCAGCAACAUACCUUUAAAAAGUGCGUAAUAGCUUACUGAUCAAGUGCUUUUGCGCCGAUAAUGUACGGGACUAAGUAAUUUGCCGAAUCUGUGAGAUAAAAACGGUAGAAGAGCGUUCUGUUGGGGCUGAAGCAAUAACGAAAGUAGUUGUGGACCUUUCAGAAGUGAGAAUGUCGGCUUAAGUAACGAAAACAUUGGUGAGAAUCCAAUGUCCCGAAAACCUAAGGUUUCCUUCGCAAGGUUCGUCCACGAAUGGUUAGUCAGGUUCUAAAAUGAGGCCAAAAGGCGUAGUUGAUGACAAACAGGUUAAUAUUCCUGUACUAUAGUUUAGUUUAAGAAUAAGAAGGACGAAGAAGGCUAAGUUAGCCAAAUAUUGGUUGUUUUGGUUUAAAUUAUUAAGGUGUUGAUAAACAUUAGAAAAGAUGUUUUGAGCUUAGAUAAUGAUGUAUAUAAUGCUACGGCAUUUAAUUAACCUAUGUCAUGCUUCCUAGAAAAGUUCUAUUAUUUAUUACUAAGAUAUACCUGUACCGUAAACCGACACAGGUAGGUUGGUAGAGUAUACUAAGGGACGCGAGACAACUCUUUUUAAGGAACUCGGCAAAAUAGCUUUGUAACUUCGGGAGAAAAAGUGCCCUAAUAAAUAGGGUCGCAGUGAUCAGAUUCAGGCGACUGUUUACCAAAAACACAGGUUUCCGCAAAGUUGAAAAACGAUGUAUGGGAGCUGACGCCUGCCCAGUGCCAGAAGGUUAAAGAAAUUGGUUAGCAUUUUGCAAAGCUAGUAACUGAAGCCCUGGUGAACGGCGGCAGUAACUAUAACUGUCCUAAGGUAGCGAAAUUCCUUGUCGGGUAAGUUCCGACCUGCACGAAAGGCGUAACGAUCUGAAAACUGUCUCAAAAAGAGACUCGGUGAAAUAGAAUUAACUGUGAAGAUGCGGUUAACUUGCACUUGGACAGAAAGACCCUAUGAAGCUUUACUGUAAUUUGGUAUUGGUUUCGGACUUUUUUUGCGCAGUAUAGGUGGGAAGCGUUGAAUCUUUUUUUCGGAAAAUGACGAGCUGUUAGUGAGAUACCACUCUAAAAAAGUUAGAAAUCUAAUGAUAUUUCCUAAUCGGGAUAUUUGAAAGUGCCAGAUGGACAGUUUUACUGGGGCGGUAGCCUCCUAAAGAGUAACGGAGGCGUACAAAGGUUUUCUCAGACUGGACGGAAAUUUGUUUUUGAGUAUAAAGGCAUAAGAAAGCUUAACUGUUAGACUUACAAGUCGUGCAGAGACGAAAGUCGGUCUUAGUGAUCCGAAGAUUCUGUAUGGAAAGGUCUUCGCUUAACGGAUAAAAGUUACUCUAGGGAUAACAGGCUGAUCUCCUCCAAGAGUUCACAUCGACGAGGAGGUUUGGCACCUCGAUGUCGGCUCAUCGCAUCCUGGAGCGGAAGUACGUUCCAAGGGUUGGGCUGUUCGCCCAUUAAAGCGGUACGUGAGCUGGGUUCAGAACGUCGAGAGACAGUUCGGUCCAUAUCCGGUGUGAGCGUUAGAGUAUUGAAAGGAGCUUUUUUUAGUACGAGAGGACCGAAAAAGACACACCAAUGUUGUACCAGUUCUUAUGCCAAUAGGAUACGCUGGGUAGUCACGUGUGGAGUGGAUAACUGC
rnacentral:rRNA from 1 species